GAUGAACGCUGGCGGCGUGCCUAAUACAUGCAAGUCGAGCGAACAGACGAGGAGCUUGCUCCUCUGACGUUAGCGGCGGACGGGUGAGUAACACGUGGAUAACCUACCUAUAAGACUGGGAUAACUUCGGGAAACCGGAGCUAAUACCGGAUAAUAUAUUGAACCGCAUGGUUCAAUAGUGAAAGACGGUUUUGCUGUCACUUAUAGAUGGAUCCGCGCCGCAUUAGCUAGUUGGUAAGGUAACGGCUUACCAAGGCAACGAUGCGUAGCCGACCUGAGAGGGUGAUCGGCCACACUGGAACUGAGACACGGUCCAGACUCCUACGGGAGGCCGCAGUAGGGAAUCUUCCGCAAUGGGCGAAAGCUUGACGGAGCAACGCCGCGUGAGUGAUGAAGGUCUUCGGAUCGUAAAACUCUGUUAUUAGGGAAGAACAAAUGUGUAAGUAACUAUGCACGUCUUGACGGUACCUAAUCAGAAAGCCACGGCUAACUACGUG
rnacentral:rRNA from 1 species